rnacentral:rRNA from 1 species
UACGGGGGGGGCAAGCGUUGUUCGGAAUUACUGGGCGUAAAGGGCUCGUAGGUGGCCAAUUAAGUCAGACGUGAAAUCCCCAGGCUCAACCUGGGAACUGCGUCUGAUACUGGUUGGCUUGAAUUCGGGAGAGGGAUGCAGAAUUCCAGGUGUAGCGGUGAAAUGCGUAGAUAUCUGGAGGAAUACCGGUGGCGAAGGCGGCAUCCUGGACCGGCACUGACGCUGAUGAGCGAAAGCCAGGGGAGCAAACGGG